CCUACGGGUGGCAGCAGUGAGGAAUAUUGGUCAAUGGGCGAGAGCCUGAACCAGCCAAGUCGCGUGAGGGAGUACUGCCCUAUGGGUUGUAAACCUCUUUUGUCGGGGAGCAAAAGCCGGACGUGUCCGGCUGUGAGAGUACCCGCUGAAAAAGCAUCGGCUAACUCCGUGCCCGCAGCCGCGGUAAUACGGAGGAUCCAAGCGUUCUCCGGAUUUAUUGGUUUUAAUGGGUUCGUCGGCGGUUUGAUAAGUUAGAGGUGAAAUACCGGUGCGCAACACCGGAACUGCCUCUAAUACUGUUGAACGAGAGAGUAGUUGCGGUAGGCGGAAUGUAUGGUGUAGCGGUGAAAUGCGUAGAGAUCGGGAGGAACACCAGUGGCGAAGGCGGCCUGCUGGGCUUUAACUGACGCUGAAGCACGAAAGCGUGGGUAGCAAACAGGAUUAGAUACCCGUGUAGUC
rnacentral:rRNA from 1 species